AUUGAACGCUGGCGGCAUGCCUUACACAUGCAAGUCGAACGGUAACAGGUUAAGCUGACGAGUGGCGAACGGGUGAGUAAUGUAUCGGAACGUGCCCAGUCGUGGGGGAUAACUACUCGAAAGAGUGGCUAAUACCGCAUACGAUCUGAGGGUGAAAGCGGGGGACCGUAAGGCCUCGCGCGAUUGGAGCGGCCGAUAUCAGAUUAGCUAGUUGGUGGGGUAAAAGCCCACCAAGGCGACGAUCUGUAGCUGGUCUGAGAGGACGACCAGCCACACUGGGACUGAGACACGGCCCAGACUCCUACGGGAGGCAGCAGUGGGGAAUUUUGGACAAUGGGCGAAAGCCUGAUCCAGCCAUGCCGCGUGCAGGAUGAAGGCCUUCGGGUUGUAAACUGCUUUUGUACGGAACGAAAAGACUCUUUCUAAUAAAGAGGGUCCAUGACGGUACCGUAAGAAUAAGCACCGGCUAACUACGUGCCAGCCGCCGCCGUAACAC
rnacentral:rRNA from 1 species